AUUUGUUUUUGUGACAUGUAAUAUGAUCAUUGGCAAAUUCGAAAACAUGAUUAGAAAUCACAUGCUGAUAAUUAUUGAUGUCAAGGUCGCCAUUGUUUGUAAACAUUGCUUUUAAAACAGCAUGCUCGGUGAAAACAAGUAAUUUUACAGGGGGGUACAAACUUUCAGCAAUAGCAAAAAAAUCUACAAGGCCAAGCACCUAUUUCUUUGUGAUAUUUUGCAUGCAUAGGGAGUUGCUAAAGCAGUGACAGAGUUUUUGUAGACCGUAUAUUUGCAGGUUGUGUAGUUUGGGAUCAGAUUUAUCAGACAUAUUGCUUGUAGGACAUUGACGGCAGAAACUUGAAAUUUAGUGUGGAGUGCUACCUUAAGGCAGCACACCACACUAAAUGAAGCCGCAGCUUCGAAUGGCCAGGGAGGAUUUCAUGGAUAUAGUGACUAUUGUGGAUUUAAAUGACUGGUUGUGUAGUUUGGGAUCAGAUUUAUCAGACAUAUUGCUUGUAGGACAUUGACGGCAGAAACUUGAAAUUUAGUGUGGAGUGCUACCUUAAGCUGUAUGUGUGAAACAUGGCCAUCCGAAGUGUUUCGAGUGAUGCAAAAUCAUUGUAUGGAGGUAAAUUUUUGCUGGAAAUCACUUUUAAGGGCAAGUGGAUAUAUAAUCUAGGUUUUCUGGUGAGAUUGUGACCAUUUUAAAGCUGAGCGAGCAAGAUCGACUAGUCGGAAAAUUUGGUUUUUGCACUGUCACUUGGUGAAUUUCGAUUCCCUAGGAGACCCACAUUGUGAUGUCUAUAAUGCUGUGAAGGCCCUGACAAAUGCUUUGUCUCUUUGUUUUUGACUUUACACAUAAACCUAUAUGAACAUUGUGCAUGCCAAAUAGAUUUUCUACUGUGUAGGACUGAAAAAAAUAGCAUAUAUUAGUGUCUGGCAGGAACAUAUCUGAUAUAUUUUGUGCC